GCCGAGGUGGCGGAAUUGGUAGACGCGCCAGGUUUAGGUCCUGGUGGGGAGACCCGUGGAGGUUCGAGUCCUCUCCUCGGCACCA
rnacentral:tRNA from 1 species